GCUUAUGGCCAUGCCACCCUGAACAUGCCUGAUCUCAUCUGCUUUUAGAAGCUAAGCAGGGUCAGGCCUGGUUGGGACUUGGAUGGGAGUCCACCUGGGAAUACCAGUCAGCUUUAAAAA
rnacentral:rRNA from 1 species